rnacentral:rRNA from 1 species
UAAUACAGAGGGUGCGAGCGUUGUCCGGAAUUACUGGGCGUAAAGGGCGCGUAGGCGGCCCGAUAAGUCGGGGGUGAAAGUCAGCGGCUCAACCGCUGGACUGCCUUCGAGACUGUUAGGCUUGAGCAUGGUAGAGGCUGGCGGAAUUCCCGGUGUAGCGGUGGAAUGCGUAGAGAUCGGGAAGAACAUCGGUGGCGAAGGCGGCCAGCUGGGCCAUUGCUGACGCUGAGGCGCGACAGCGUGGGGAGCAAACAGGAUUAGAUACCCUGGUAGUCCACGCCGUAAACGAUGGGUACUAGGCGUCGGGGGGAGCGACCCCUUCGGUGCCGUCGUUAACACAGUAAGUACCCCGCCUGGGGAGUACGGCCGCAAGGCUG